rnacentral:rRNA from 1 species
UACAUAGGUCGCAAGCGUUGUUCGGAUUCACUGGGCGUAAAGGGUGCGCAGGCGGCCGUGCAAGUCUGAUGUGAAAUCUCCGGGCUUAACCCGGAAAUGGCAUUGGAAACUGCCCGGCUAGAGUGUUGGAGGGGGGACUGGAAUUCUCGGUGUAGCAGUGAAAUGCGUAGAUAUCGAGAGGAACACCAGUGGCGAAGGCGAGUCCCUGGACAACUACUGACACUGAGGCACGAAAGCUAGGGGAGCAAACAGG